UUAUUAUUGUUAGCAUAUUGUAUGCGUUUCUGAAUAUAGCUGCUGGGAAUGUUGCUGAAUGGUGAUGCAGCAAUAGGCUACUUUGCGUAUAGAGAUUACAAAAUGCCAUUUUCAAUAGCUAGGGCAACCUCAUGGACUUUGGUGCCAAAGUUAAAUGCAGUACUUGAGAUGAGACUGAGCUUUUCUAUGUUAACUAAGCGAAUAAAUAUUGAUAUAUUUUGAACACCUGCAUGACACACCCUUUUGCGCCCCUUUCUUCUUUCUUACAAUACGAAACAAAUAAAGGAGAUGUGAACUGGUAGAAGUAACUGACAGAAUUUAUAACGUGGAUGGGUUGGGAUAUAUUCCUAUGUUCCAUUCCAGGGGAAAAGUAAAUUAUAUUUUCUUCAGCUUCUUGUUCUUGCUAACAAUCCUAGGAAUACUUAUAUGUCUCUCAUGAUUUGAAUUCUUAUGCAUAUUAUAUCAUGUGGAGCUCUUUGACAAUAAAUUUGUUUAUUUAUUUGUUUAAUUUUGAUUUGAUGUGCCAGAUUUAGCAGAAGUGUGUAUUUGCUGUUUGCAUUGGAAUUUUCUACAGCUCCUGCCUGUAACUUAUAAGGUAUAUUGUUAACAGCCCUAAUGCAAGGGCAGAGGGGUAUUAUUGGCUCUUUGCCAGAAAUACUGGACUUUGACCAUGGAUCUACAUCAGGUAAUGCUAUCAUAGAUCAGCAAAUUUGCUGGAAUAACAUGCAAAACCCUGCAGAAAACCCACUAGCAGACUUUAUGCUGUCACCUAGUCACAUGAACACUGCAUAUGUUAAUUCUGUUGAUCAAGAACGACAAAAUUUGGGUGGAUGGAGUUUGGGUGAACCCAGUUCUAGUGGUGCACAAAAUGAUGCAAGUCACGAAGAGCAGAAAUCAGAACGGGGAUGUUCAUCUUCGGCAGGUAGUUGUGCUGCUGGAGCUGGUCGAAGGUUAGGAGAAAGGCAAUAUGAACCAGGCAAUAUUCUUCCACUGGACACUGUUAAUGUGAACCCUCAAUUUGUGCAGAGUUCCAAUUCCAAUACAAUUCCACAGAAUCUCAACCUGAAUGCCGGUUUUGUGGGUCAUGGUGGUGAUAAUGGUCAAAUCAUGGAAAGCUCUAAUACGUACAAGUCUGGUGGGGCAGACAAUGAGCGGGUUCUUCCAUCUAGUGGUUCUCACACAUUUCUGCAUCCUUCUGGAAAUAGUGAAUACAUGUUGGAAGAGGGUGAUGGUAGACCCGUUUGUUCAUUGGAUGGUCACCGUCAUUCAUGCAAAAGAAAGGCAAUCGAGGGACAUAUCGGACAGUCCUCUAUGAGUGGAAGUUCUAGUUUCUUUCAGUGCUCAGAGAGUAGUGCAUGGCCUGGUGUUCCUGCUCACUAUGAUUCAGGUCGCAGCUUAAGUAUUUCUGCUCCAUCUGAACAGGUGAACCCCAGGCUUGGUUUAGGUUUGAGAGGACUAGCUGCUGAUGGUAUUCCUGACACAUCAGUAGCCGGACGACCUGAAACAUCAGUAGCCGGACGUCCUGAAACAUCCCAAAGAAAUUUUCGAUUGAGAAUAAAUCCUUCAACUCAAGAAUCUGUUCCCCCUGCUUUAUUUUCUACAGGGAGUGCUGUUAGGCGCCCAAGUGUGCCAUCUGCCCAUCGCUCAUCUAGACUUCUUCCAAUUGAUCAUUCAUUGGACUUUAGGUCACUGCCAGCAGUCGAAGGUGCGAUUCCUCAGAGUCAGCCUCCUGUUGCCCCUGUUCCACCUUUGCCACAAAAUGUUCAGUCAUUUAGGUGGAAUGAAAGCUCUAGCUCUAGAACUGGUAGCUCAUCAAGUUCUAUCACUUUACAUGAUAGAGAGGAAGCCAGUCCAAGAAGCAUAUCAAGAAACAUUUGGGAUCCUAUGUUUGUGCCUGCAACUGAGUUGAGAACCUCAGUUAGAAAUCCAACAAACAGAAGUGUAACUGGUGGAAAUGCUUGUGUUCCUGGAAAUGUUGCUUCUACAUCACGGUCUGGCUCAAGUUCAGUUGUCCAUCCUUUAUCAGCUCCAACUUGGGUUUCUCAUCAAAAUCCUACUUCAAGAAAUUCACGGAGAUUAGCUGAAUAUGUUCGUCGAUCUCUAUUUGCUUCUGCUGGUGCUGAUUCUGGAGGCCAGAGCAGUACUCAUUCUCCACUGCAUUCAGGUCCUUCUGGAACCUCGGAAGAGGCAAUGAUUUCUUCUGGAGUUGGUAACCAAGUGCAUCAUCGAUCAUAUCCAAGGUCAUCAAUGUGGAUGGAGAGACAGGUGGAUGGUGUACUUGGAAUUCCUUAUCCUUUGCGAACUCUGGCUGCUGCCAGUGAAGGAAGAAGCAGGCAUCUUGUGUCUGAGAUUCGCAAUGUCUUGGAUCUCAUGCGAAGGGGUGAGAGCUUGCGAUUUGAGGAUGUCAUGAUUCUUGACCAAUCAGUGUUUUUUGGAGUGGCUGAUAUUCAUGAUAGGCACAGGGACAUGCGGCUUGAUGUUGAUAACAUGUCAUAUGAGGAGUUGUUGGCCUUGGAAGAGCGUAUUGGAAAUGUUAGUACUGGAUUGAGCGAAGAAACUAUAUUAAACCGGCUAAAGCAGCGGAAAUAUUCUAUUGCAGUAAGGAGUGAGGUGGAGGCAGAACCUUGUUGCGUUUGUCAGGAGGAAUACAAUGAUGGAGAAGAUGUUGGAACACUGGACUGUGGGCAUGAUUUUCACACUGACUGUAUUAAACAAUGGCUGAUGCUCAAGAAUUGGUGCCCCAUUUGUAAAACAACGGGGCUUGCUACAUGAAAAGUUAUUUUGAUGAUCAGGCGAUUAAGAUUAUGCACAUAAUAUGAAGAAAGAGAAGGUUAGCGCUUUUCGCUUAUUUUAGUGAAUUGGAUUCAUUAUCUUAGUGAGUAGUGCCUUGCAUCGCCUCUGAAGUUAUGUCCAGUCGGACUAAUCUAUGGGAUGACUAAUCUAGAGGAAGGCAUUUGUUUUUGAAUAGAAGAUACAAAUUCCAUGGUGAUGAUUCAGCUAAGGAAUAUGGGAGUGCAGAAACUGGUUUUGAACAAUUAGUUUGUGUAUUGGAUAUUCAUUGCCUUAUUGUUUUUAUUUUAUUUAUUUAGGUGCCAAUGUCUUUAAAUUUGGAGUUGCGACAUUUUGGGGAAGCCUAAUGGCAGCCUAUUUAUGAAAUAGCCCAGAAAAAAUGGCUUUAGACCAGAGGAGAGGAGGGGAGAGAAGGUGACCAACUGUUGGAAUGAGUUGGGUUUGAUUUUUAUGGAUUGGGCUGGAUGCGGAUUGGCGACGGCCUUUUUUUCUUUAGUGUUUUAGAACAAGGUUCCAUUUU
rnacentral:misc_RNA from 1 species